rnacentral:snoRNA from 1 species
AACCCAUGGUGAAGACACCUUCUCAAGAAGUUCUUAUACCUCUCCCAUGCAUCAUAUAACAUUUCAAGAUCCAUCUGUACAAAAGAAGAGAUAUCAUUCCUCAAUUU